rnacentral:rRNA from 1 species
CUCAUGAUGAACGCUAGCUACAGGCUUAACACAUGCAAGUCGAGGGGCAGCAUGGUCUUAGCUUGCUAAGGCCGAUGGCGACCGGCGCACGGGUGAGUAACACGUAUCCAACUUGCCGUCUACUCUUGGACAGCCUUCUGAAAGGAAGAUUAAUACAAGAUGGCAUCAUGAGUCCGCAUGUUCACAUGAUUAAAGGUAUUCCGGUAGACGAUGGGGAUGCGUUCCAUUAGAUAGUAGGCGGGGUAACGGCCCACCUAGUCUUCGAUGGAUAGGGGUUCUGAGAGGAAGGUCCCCCACAUUGGAACUGAGACACGGUCCAAACUCCUACGGGAGGCAGCAGUGAGGAAUAUUGGUCAAUGGGCGAGAGCCUGAACCAGCCAAGUAGCGUGAAGGAUGACUGCCCUAUGGGUUGUAAACUUCUUUUAUAAAGGAAUAAAGUCGGGUAUGGAUACCCGUUUGCAUGUACUUUAUGAAUAAGGAUCGGCUAACUCCGUGCCAGCAGCCGCGGUAAUACGGAGGAUCCGAGCGUUAUCCGGAUUUAUUGGGUUUAAAGGGAGCGUAGAUGGAUGUUUAAGUCAGUUGUGAAAGUUUGCGGCUCAACCGUAAAAUUGCAGUUGAUACUGGAUAUCUUGAGUGCAGUUGAGGCAGGCGGAAUUCGUGGUGUAGCGGUGAAAUGCUUAGAUAUCACGAAGAACUCCGAUUGCGAAGGCAGCCUGCUAAGCUGCAACUGACAUUGAGGCUCGAAAGUGUGGGUAUCAAACAGGAUUAGAUACCCUGGUAGUCCACACGGUAAACGAUGAAUACUCCGCUGUUUGCGAUAUACUGCAAGCGGCCAAGCGAAAGCGUUAAGUAUUCCACCUGGGGAGUACGCCGGCAACGGUGAAACUCAAAGGAAUUGACGGGGGCCCGCACAAGCGGAGGAACAUGUGGUUUAAUUCGAUGAUACGCGAGGAACCUUACCCGGGCUUAAAUUGCAGAUGAAUUACGGUGAAAGCCGUAAGCCGCAAGGCAUCUGUGAAGGUGCUGCAUGGUUGUCGUCAGCUCGUGCCGUGAGGUGUCGGCUUAAGUGCCAUAACGAGCGCAACCCUUGUUGUCAGUUACUAACAGGUUUUGAUGAGGACUCUGACAAGACUGCCAUAGUAAGAUGUGAGGAAGGUGGGGAAGACGUCAAAUCAGCACGGCCCUUACGUCCGGGGCUACACACGUGUUACAAUGGGGGGUACAGAGGGCCGCUACCACGCGAGUGGAUGCCAAUCCCCAAAACCUCUCUCAGUUCGGACUGGAGUCUGCAACCCGACUCCACGAAGCUGGAUUUGUUAGUAAUCGCGCAUCAGCCAAGGCGCGGUGAAUACGUUCCCGGGCCUUGUACACACCGCCCGUCAAGUCAUGGGAGCCGGGGGUACCUGAAGUGCGUAACCGCGAGGAGCGCCCUAG